GAUGAACGCUAGCUACAGGCUUAACGCAUGCAAGUCGAGGGGUAACGAGAGGAAAGCUUGCUUUCCUUGUCGACGACCGGCGCACGGGUGAGUAACGCGUAUCCAACCUGCCCCCAACUAGGGAAUAACCUUGCGAAAGUAAGACUAAUACCCUAUAAUUUCCUCAGAUGACAUCUGACGAGGAAUAAAGAUUUAUCGGUUGUGGAUGGGGAUGCGUCUGAUUAGCUUGUUGGCGGGGUAACGGCCCACCAAGGCAACGAUCAGUAGGGGUUCUGAGAGGAAGGUCCCCCACAUUGGAACUGAAACACGGUCCAAACUCCUACGGGAGGCAGCAGUGAGGAAUAUUGGUCAAUGGGCGGAAGCCUGAACCAGCCAAGUAGCGUGCAGGAUGACGGCCCUAUGGGUUGUAAACUGCUUUUAUACAGGAAUAAAGUUAGCCACGUGUGGUUAUUUGUAGGUACUGUAUGAAUAAGGACCGGCUAAUUCCGUGCCAGCCGCCGCCGUAA
rnacentral:rRNA from 1 species